CAAUAAUAUCUUAGAUAGAACAAACGGAUGUUAGAAAAGAUAAAAAGAUAUUCCUUCUGUUCCAAAAUAUUUGAUGUUUUGAGUGUAUGCACAGGAAUUAAGGUAUACACAUUUUCUAAAAAAUAACAUUAAAAAUAUAAACCAAUAUUAAUUCAUCCAAUUUUUAAAAAUAAAUAUAAAACAUCAUUGGUCACACAAUUUUUUAAUAAAAUUUAAAUUAAUAUCAAAAUAUCAAAAUAUCGUCUAUUUUGAACAUCAAAACCUUUCUAAAAUAUCACCUAUUUUGGAACAGAGGAAGUAAAAUAUAAGACAAAACAUUCCUCCGAGCUCAAAGGAGCGUGAUCAAGCACCAACCCAAAAAACUUAAAAAGGCCAGAGAAAGAAUAAUCAUCAGGAGACGAAACAAGAAGACACAUGCCUCAAGCACCGGAAUCACAACCACUAGCUAAAAAGUAAGAAACACCUCACAAACUAAACAAGCACUUACAAGGCGUUCAUGCCAGCGAAGAACCACAAAGCUCUAAAUAGAAGAGACCAAAGCUCCAAAGACUAACUCCGCACACCUACACCAAGGGAAGCAAGAGAAAAAAAGAAACCAUUUGAAGGAGGGAGAAUGGAAGCCUACCACCGGAAAACAAAAGCUCAAGCUUUAGACUAGAAAUAACCUUCCAAGCACACAAAGCAUGCACAGAAGAAAAC
rnacentral:lncRNA from 1 species